rnacentral:rRNA from 1 species
GCGGGAGGCCUAACACAUGCAAGUCGAGGGGUAACGGAAGUAGCUUGCUACUAGACGACGACCGGCGCACGGGUGAGUAACGCGUAUGUAAUCUGCCUUGUACAGAGGGAUAGCCCAGAGAAAUUUGGAUUAAUACCUCAUAGUAUUACUGAGUCGCAUGAUUUGGUAAUUAAAGCUCCGGCGGUACAAGAUGAACAUGCGUGACAUUAGCUAGUUGGUAAGGUAACGGCUUACCAAGGCUACGAUGUCUAGGGGUUCUGAGAGGAUGAUCCCCCACACUGGUACUGAGACACGGACCAGACUCCUACGGGAGGCAGCAGUGAGGAAUAUUGGUCAAUGGACGCAAGUCUGAACCAGCCAUCCCGCGUGAAGGAUGACUGCCCUAUGGGUUGUAAACUUCUUUUAUAUGCAAAUAAACCUACUUUCGUGAAAGUAGCUGAAGGUAGCAUAUGAAUAAACACCGGCUAACUCCGUGCCAGCAGCCGCGGUAAUACGGAGGGUGUAAGCGUUAUCCGGAUUUAUUGGGUUUAAAGGGUACGUAGGCGGUAAUAUAAGUCAGUGGUGAAAUCCUGCAGCUCAACUGUAGAACUGCCAUUGAAACUGUAUUACUUGAGUAUACUUGAGGUAGGCGGAAUGAGUAGUGUAGCGGUGAAAUGCUUAGAUAUUACUCAGAACACCGAUUGCGAAGGCAGCUUACUAAGGUAU